rnacentral:rRNA from 1 species
CCCAGACAGCCAGGAUGUUGGCUUAGAAGCAGCCAUCAUUUAAAGAAAGCGUAAUAGCUCACUGGUCGAGUCGGCCUGCGCGGAAGAUGUAACGGGGCUAAACCAUGCACCGAAGCUGCGGCAGCGACACUGUGUGUUGUUGGGUAGGGGAGCGUUCUGUAAGCCUGCGAAGGUGUGCUGUGAGGCAUGCUGGAGGUAUCAGAAGUGCGAAUGCUGACAUAAGUAACGAUAAAGCGGGUGAAAAGCCCGCUCGCCGGAAGACCAAGGGUUCCUGUCCAACGUUAAUCGGGGCAGGGUGAGUCGACCCCUAAGGCGAGGCCGAAAGGCGUAGUCGAUGGGAAACGGGUUAAUAUUCCCGUACUUGGUGUUACUGCGAAGGGGGGACGGAGAAGGCUAUGUUGGCCGGGCGACGGUUGUCCCGGUUUAAGCGUGUAGGUGUGUGUUCCAGGUAAAUCCGGUUCACUUUAACACUGAGGCGUGAUGACGAGGCACUACGGUGCUGAAGCAACAAAUGCCCUGCUUCCAGGAAAAGCCUCUAAGCAUCAGGUAACAUCAAAUCGUACCCCAAACCGACACAGGUGGUCAGGUAGAGAAUACCAAGGCGCUUGAGAGAACUCGGGUGAAGGAACUAGGCAAAAUGGUGCCGUAACUUCGGGAGAAGGCACGCUGACA